UAGAAAGUAGUCUAAUUGGUAAAACGAAGAAUUUUGAUUUCUUAUUUAUAAGUUCAAACCUUAUCUUUCUAA
rnacentral:tRNA from 1 species